rnacentral:rRNA from 1 species
UACGGGGGGGGCAAGCGUUGUUCGGAAUUACUGGGCGUAAAGCGUGCGUAGGUGGUGAGUUAAGUCUGUCGUGAAAGCCCCGGGCUCAACCUGGGAAUGGCGAUGGAUACUGGCUCGCUAGAGUGCGGUAGAGGAGAGUGGAAUUCCCGGUGUAGCAGUGAAAUGCGCAGAUAUCAGGAAGAACACCCGUGGCGAAGGCGGCUCUCUGGGACGGUACUGACGCUGAGACGCGAAAGCGUGGGGAGCGAAGCAGG